UACUUGUACCACUGGAUGAGCAGCGAACGGUGAGUACGCGUGGGAUCUGCCUUUGAGCGGGGACACAUUUGGAACGAAUGCUAAUACCGCAUAAAACUUUAACACAAGUUUUAAGUUUGAAGAUGCAUUGCAUCACUCAGAUGAUCCCGCGUUGUAUUAGCUAGUGGUGAGGUAAAGCUCACCAAGGCGAUGAUACAUUAGCCGACCUGAGAGGUGAUCGCACAAUGGACUGAGACACGGCCCAACUCCUACGGGGGCGCGUAGGGAAUCUUCGGCAAUGACGAAGUCUGACCGAGCACGCCCGUGAGUGAAGAAGUUUUCGGAUCUAAACUCUGUGGUAGAGAAGAACAUCGGUGAGAG
rnacentral:rRNA from 1 species